rnacentral:rRNA from 1 species
ACGGGGCCCGCACAAGCAGCGAGCGUGUGGUUUAAUUCGAUGCAACGCGAAGAACCUUACCAGGGUUUGACAUGCUUAAAGUAGGAACUCGAAAGAGGGACGACCUGUAUCCAGUCAGGAGUUUGCACAGGUGCUGCAUGGCUGUCGUCAGCUCGUGCCGUGAGGUGUUAGGUUAAGUCCUGCAACGAGCGCAACCCUCGUCGCUAGUUGUUUUCUCUAGCGAUACUGCCCGUAUAACGUGGAGGAAGGUGGGGAUGACGUCAAGUCAGCAUGGCCCUUACAUCCUGGGCUACACACACGCUACAAUGGGUGAUACAACAGGUUGCAAUAGAGUAAUCUGGAGCCAAUCCCUAAAAUCAUCCUCAGUACGGAUUGCAGGCUGCAACUGCCUGCAUGAAGUUGGAGUUGCUAGUAAACGCAGGUCAGCACACUGCGUUGAACUACGUUCUCGGGCCUU